rnacentral:lncRNA from 1 species
AGUUAAGAAGAAUGAUACAAGUCUUUUGAGAAAAGCGCCUAAGUAUCGGUCCUGAUGAGAAAAAGAUUCUGGAUGGACGGAUUUAAUCGCGCAGAUCGAAGUUUAUUUUACUGGGGAGGAUAAAAACGAAGAUUUGUAGGAGAAUAAAGUUUUCUUUUUGUUUAGUAAAAAUGAUUAAAUCGU